rfam:Myotis brandtii contig161470, whole genome shotgun sequence.
GACCAAAUAGCUCAGUUGGUUAGAGCAUUGUCCUGAUAUGCCAAGGUGGCAGGUUCAAUCCCUGUUCAGGGCA